AUGCUAGUAGUUCAAUAGGAUAGAGCAUCAGACUGCGAACCUGAAAGUUGAAAGUUCGAAUCUUUCCUAGCAUA
rnacentral:tRNA from 1 species